UACGAAGGGGGCUAGCGUUGUUCGGAAUUACUGGGCGUAAAGCGUGCGCAGGCGGCUGCUCAAGUCAGGGGUGAAAGCCCAGAGCUCAACUCUGGAAUUGCCUUUGAGACUGAGUGGCUUGAGUACGGGAGAGGUGAGUGGAAUUCCCAGUGUAGAGGUGAAAUUCGUAAGAUAUUGGGAAGAACACCGGUGGCGAAGGCGGCUCACUGGCCGUAACUGACGCUCAUGCACGACAGCGUGGGGAUCAAACAGG
rnacentral:rRNA from 1 species